rnacentral:rRNA from 1 species
CCUACGGGAGGCAGCAGUGGGGAAUAUUGCGCAAUGGGCGAAAGCCUGACGCAGCGACGCCGCGUGAGGGAUGAAGGUCUUCGGAUCGUAAACCUCUGUCAGCAGGGAAGAACGGUCACUGUGCUAAUCAGCAGUGAAUGGACGGUACCUGCAAAGGAAGCACCGGCUAACGCCGUGCCAGCAGCCGCGGUAAUACGGAGGGUGCGAGCGUUAAUCGGACUUACUGGGCGUAAAGCGCUCGUAGGCGGGAUGUCAAGGCAAGGGUGAAAUCCCCGCGCUCACCGUGGGAACUGCCUUUGAAACUGUCAACCUGGAGUGUGUGAGAGGAUAGUGGAAUUCCCGGUGU